UUAAGCAUAUUAAGCAAAAGAAACUAACAAGGAUUUUCUUAGUAGCGGCGAGCGAAAAGAAAUCAGUUCAGCACUAGGUCACUUUGUCUAUAUGGCAAAUGUGAGAUGCAGUGUACGGAACAUGAAUAUUCUUGUAUGAGAAGUAAACGAUUUAAGUCCUUCUUAAAUGAGGCCAUUUACCCAUAGAGGGCGCCAGGCCCGUAUAGCGUUAAUGAUUACUAGAUGGUGUUUCCAAAGAGUCGUGUUGUUUGAUAGUGCAGCACUAAGUGGGUGGUAAACUCCAUCUAAAACAAAAUCUAACCAUGAGACGGAUAUAAUGUGAGGGAAAGUUGAAAAGAACUCUGAAUAGAGACUUAAACCGUACGUGAAACUGCUUAGAAGUUAAGCCCAAUGAACCUGAAUAUCCGUUAUGGAAAAUUCAUCAUUCGAAUUGUAAUAUUUUAAACAAUAUUAUAAUAAUAGUGUACAUUUUUUCCAUAUAAGGACAUUGUUAUCUAUUAGCAUAUAUAUUUAUCAUAAAAUUAUGUCUGAUUGCUUAUUUGAAUUGCUUGUAUUUAACAUAAAAUAAAAGAUAUAAAUUUGAUAAAGUGCUGAUAGAUUUAAAUGAUUACAGUGCGUUAGUUUUUCGGAAUUAUAUAAUGGCAUAGUUAUCAUUGAUAUUAUAUAAGAUUCAGGAUACCUUCGGGACCCGUCUUGAAACACGGACCAAGGAGUCUGACAUAUGUUCAAGUUAUUGGGAUAUGAACCUAAUAGCGUAGUUAACUUGACUAUUAAUGGGAUUACUUUUUUAACUAUUUAUGGCUAAUUAACGCAAUCCCGCGGCGCUCUAUAUAGUUAUAUACAAUAAUGUUUGUAUUAUUUAUGCCUCUAACUGGAACGCACCUUGAGCAUAUAUGCUGUGACCCGAAAGAUGGUGAAGUAUACUUGAUCAGGUUGAAGUCAAGGGAAACCCUGAUGGAAGACCGAAACAGUUCUGACGUGCAAAUCGUGCAAAUUGUCAGAAUUGAAUAUAGGGGCGAAAGACCAAUCGAACCAUCUAGUAGCUGGUUCCCUCCGAAGUUUCCCUCAGGAUAGUUGGUGCAUUUAACUGUUGUAUAAAAUAAUCUUAUCUGCUAAAGCGAAUGAUUAGAGGCCUUAGGGUCGAAACGAUCUUAACCUAUUCUCAAACUUAAAAUGGGUAAGAACCUUAAUUUUAUUGAUAUGAAGUUCAAGGUUAUGAUAUAAUGUGCCCAGUGUCCAAUUUUGGUAAGCAGAACUGGCGCUGUGGGAUGAACCAAACGUAAUGUUACGGUGCCCAAAUUAACAACUCAUACAGCAGGACGGUGAUCAUGGAAGUCGAAAUCCGCUAAGGAGUGUGUAACAACUCACCUGCCGAAGCAACUAGCCUUUAAAAUGGAUGGCGGUUAAGUUGUAUACCUAUACACUACCGCUAAAGUAGAUGGUUUAUAUUACUUGAAAUAUAAAUUUUGAAACUUUAGUGAGUAGGAAGGUACAAUGGUGUGCAUAGAAGUGUUUGGCGUGAACAGUGGUUGAUCACGAGUUAGUCGGUCCUAAGUUCAAGGCGAAACCCGAAAAUUUUCAAGUAAAGAAAAAUCUAAAUAUAUUUGUCAUCUACCCGAUUUUUACACACUUGAAUAAUUUUGAGCGAAAGGGAAUACGGUUCCAAUUCCGUAACCUGUUGAGUAUCCGUUUGUUAUUAACUGUGGGCCUCGUGCUCAUCCUGUCCACAGGAACGUCCAUAAAGAAGCCGUCGAGAGGUAUCGGAAGAGUUUUCUUUUCUGUUUUAUAGCCGUACUACCAUGUAAGUCUUUCGCAGAGAGAUAUGGUAGAUGGGCUAGAAGAGCAUGACAUAUACUGUUGUGUCGAUAUUUUCUCCUCGGACCUUGAAAAUGUAUGGUGGGGACACGCAAACUUCUCAACAGGGCGUACCAAUAUCCGCAGCUGGUCUCCAAGGUGAAGAGUCUCUAGUCGAUAGAAUAAUGUAGGUAAGGGAAGUCGU
rnacentral:rRNA from 1 species